AAAUGUCUCGAUCUUAACAUUUCAGCAUGUACAUUUGCAUCCAUGAUGGCACGGCAAAAUUGGAUUGAAAAACAUAUUUAGGAACUCUGGUUAAUGAAGUUCUACCCAAAGGAUCAAAGAAUGUACAUGUAGCAAAUUUUACAAAAUAAAAGAUGGAUGGUGUGAACGCCAUUUUGGUUCAGAAGUGGCACAACAUGAGGUCCCAUUCUUUUACAGUCGAUUGGUAUAGUUAAAUUCGAUACCUAAUGAUAAACGUCGUCAACACCUCAUGGUAAGCAUCAUCGUUACCUCACUGUACACGUCAUCGAUACCUCAUGGUAGACAUUAAAGAUACCUCAUGGUUGACAUCUUCGUUACCUCAUGGUAGAUUUAAUCGGUACCUCAUGGUAAACAUCAUCAUUCCCCCAUUGUACGCGUCAUCGAUACCUCAUGGUAGACACAAUCUAUACCCCAUGGUAGACAUCAUCGUUACCACAUGGUAGACAUCUUCAGUAUCUCAUGGUAGACAUAAUCGAUACCUCAUGGUAGACAUCGUCGAUACUUCAUGGAAGAUAUCAUCGUUACGUCAUGGUAGACAUCUUCAUUACCUCAUGGUAGACAUACUCGAUACCUCAUGAUAGACAUCGUCGAUACUUUAUGGUAGACAUCAUCGAUACCUCAUGGUAGACAUCUUCCAUACCUCAUGGUAGAAUCAUCGUUAUCUCAUGGUAGACAUCUUCGUUACCUCAUGGUAGACAUCUUCGAUCUGGUAAUUGAAGGGAAGGCACAUGUUCAGACUGGAAGUACAUUAUCUUUAACAUGCAAUGGUACUGCCUUACAGUCACAACCGGCGAAUCUUGACUGGUUUAAAGAUGAGGAGAAACUGAUUCCGAAUGAAAGAAUACAUAUAAACGUUUAAACAAAAGUUAUGGAUCGAUCUGUUCGGACCAUAUCAAGUACAUUAACCAUCAAUGAUAUGGACAAACAAAACGAGGGACAAUACAAAUGCUGGAUUUCCAAUACCAGAAUAAAUAUAUUACCGUACAUGUCAGCGGAGACAUGAAAUCAGGGGCUGAUAUGAAGAAUUUUAUGACAACGUCAACAGCUGCAUUGACCCUGGCUGUGAUUGCGUUCUGAGAGAGAGAGAGAGAGAGAGAGAGGCUUUCCGACUAAGUAAACUUAGUUUUCGUAGAGCAUCGACACACAUGAAACCUUCUUCCUUGUGAACAACUUGUACUGGCCUCACAGUUGGGUGGGCGACAUUCAAGCGUAUAACAGUAAUUUCUGGUUCUUGGACCGGAAGUCCAACCCUGAUCCCUUUAUUGACACUCAAGUGUGCUUAACUAGCCGUAAUAAGACAUUCCUACGCAAUAAAGAAAUGUUUAGAUUUUUUUCCCACCGUAACAUUUGUAGUGAUGCAAACGAUAGGCCACACGCUGUAAUACAUGUGGUGUUAAAACGCUUUUUGUUUCGUUACUAUACUACUUCUGUAUCUGAAAUGUUUGAUUUAAAUUGUGGAAAGUUAGAUUAUUUUGUCUUUUUAUUUGUAGUACAGUUUACAUGUUAACUGUCAUUGCUAUGAAGAUAAAAUAUGCUUGUUGUAGCAAAGAAAUUAAUUUACAUUUAGAAUGUAAUUCAUGGAAAAGUAUCUACCUUUGCAGAUAGGCGUAUUCUCGCCAAAGUGUCAUUAGCAAAAGGUAUACUGUAAUUAUCUGAGUUCUUGUAAACAUUGAAUUGGAAGCAAGCAAAUAAAUCGACAAUCUAAAUAGCAAGUACACCUACUUCUUUGGCAGCACUGCAAAUCUCUGCAUUUUUUAUUGUUGAUUGAAUCAUCUGUAAACAUAUCACUGAGACUGCGAGAAAACGAAAAGGAGUUAGACGAACAAGCUAUGAAGUACCUAAUUAUUUUGAUUUGCAUUAUUGGAGUUAGCUCUUGGGACAUAAAAAUCAAAGGACCGUCGAGUGUACAAAUCGGAAGCACUCUGUCUUUAUCGUGCAAUGCAACUGAUAUGGUAUCUCCACCAAGAAUAGUUGUUUGGUACAAAGGUUAUAGCAAACUUGCUUUAAGUGAGAGGGUAUCUGCAACAAUGUUAUGGUCACCAAAGACCAUAACAAGCAAACUGACCAUAAAGGAUGUAGUUCGACAAGAUGCAGGGAAGUACAAGUGUUGGGUCUCUAACGAGAUCGUUAGUCAGGUCACGGUGGCAGUCGUAGAUACUGCAAAAGCAGGUGGCGAGUCUACACAGAUUCAGGGAAUAUCACCAUUUACAUCUUUAGUAUUUUUAUCAUGCUUUUUGAAGAUAUUGGGUUAAAACUAGCAAGUCGAUUAGGCUUGUUACUUUAAAAUCAAAUUUAUAUUAAUUCUGGUUAUUUAAGCAAACGUCAUUAUAUCACCUACGCAAGAACUGUCUGUUAAGAUAAGUUUUGAAGCUAGAACGGUAGUGUGCUUUUCUGUUUACAGUACCUGUCAUACAUCCCUGACGAAGGAAAUACUUGGAUAUCUUAUACACUUAUGAACAGUUGUUUCUCGCAUGAGACUUUAACAUUUACAACGUUGUUGUAUCAUGUGUCUUGGCUACAGUGUUACUAAAAUUAGGUGUACCUAAUGAAGAAAGUAAAAAAAACAAACAUCAAACUUGAAGACAAACAAACGAUCUUGAGCUGUAAGUCUGUAAGUUAUUGAAAGGUACUCAUCAAUAUUGUCGUUAACGUCGGAAUAUCCAUUUUGCAAGAAUUUGGGUACUUGAUGUCAUCCGUCUGUCAACGCUAUCAUUAUGUGUAUAAAUACGAAUGUUUACAACUUUGGUCAAGGCAUUGAAAACAUUUGGCAAAUAAAUAACAAUAGAUAUGAAA